AACGCGAAGAACCUUACCAGCUUUUGACAUGUCCUGGACGGUUUCCAGAGAUGGGAUCCUCCCUUCGGGGCCGGGAACACAGGUGCUGCAUGGCUGUCGUCAGCUCGUGUCGUGAGAUGUUGGGUUAAGUCCCGCAACGAGCGCAACCCUCGUCUUCAGUUGCCAUCAUUCAGUUGGGCACUCUGGAGAGACUGCCGGUGAUAAGCCGGAGGAAGGUGGGGAUGACGUCAAGUCCUCAUGGCCCUUACAGGCUGGGCUACACACGUGCUACAAUGGCGGUGACAGAGGGAUGCAAUGGCGCGAGCCCUAGCAAAUCUCCAAAAGCCGUCUCAGUUCGGAUUGCACUCUGCAACUCGAGUGCAUGAAGUUGGAAUCGCUAGUAAUCGCGGAUCAGCACGCCGCGGUGAAUACGUUCCCGGGCCUUGUACACACCGACAUA
rnacentral:rRNA from 1 species